rnacentral:rRNA from 1 species
GAUGAACGCUGGCGGCGUGCCUAAUACAUGCAAGUCGAGCGAACAGACGAGGAGCUUGCUCCUCUGACGUUAGCGGCGGGCGGGUGAGUAACACGUGGAUAACCUACCUAUAAGACUGGGAUAACUUCGGGAAACCGGAGCUAAUACCGGAUAAUAUAUUGAACCGCAUGGUUCAAUAGUGAAAGACGGUUUUGCUGUCACUUAUAGAUGGAUCCGCGCCGCAUUAGCUAGUUGGUAAGGUAACGGCUUACCAAGGCAACGAUGCGUAGCCGACCUGAGAGGGUGAUCGGCCACACUGGAACUGAGACACGGUCCAGACUCCUACGGGAGGCAGCAGUAGGGAAUCUUCCGCAAUGGGCGAAAGCCUGACGGAGCAACGCCGCGUGAGUGAUGAAGGUCUUCGGAUCGUGAAACUCUGUUAUUAGGGAAGAACAAAUGUGUAAGUAACUAUGCACGUCUUGACGGUACCUAAUCAGAAAGCCACGGCUAACUACGUG